GAUCAUCACAUUACCAUUGUUGAAAAUCCCUAUACUCUUUCUCCUCCCUGUUUGCUCUUCUACACAGAUUUUGCUUCAUCUUUGUUGAUUUACUUUAAUUCCUUAGCUAAUCUCUAAAUUCUUUCCCCAUCACAGUUUCCAAUUUGCGUUUUCUAGUUAUUUGCGCUUUGAUUUUUGAUUCUGCUCCGUCUUUAACUUACUCCUUCGCCAUCGCAGAAAAAUUGGAUAACAACUGCUUAUGUUGACGCCCAUGAAGUAUUCAAAAAUAUGCCGCAUUGUUGACUUUACCCACGGAUUCAGGAAAUGCUGCAAAUUUAUUCACACUUGCAUGUCUAUAAUCCUUUCAAAGUUGAUAGAUGGUAGUACAAACGAACAAAAGGCCGUGAACAGAUUCAAUUUGACCUUCUCCAUCUGUAUUUGAGUUUAUGCAGCAGAGCAGAGAUGACAUCUUCGUCAAGGUUGAAUUUCUCUUUGGAUCAGUUUGUGUUUUCCUUAACUCUUGGUUUUACCAAUCUUUACGAUCAAGCUUUGCUUCUCUCAGUCAACAAUGGAGUGAUUCCAAGUUAUUUAGAUGUUGUAGAGCUAAUUCGAGCUAUUUGGAGCAUUGAAGUCUAAGUAGAAGCCCAAGUGAUUAAAUCGGGGUCGCGUUCGGGGGUCGAGGACGAAGUCCGAAUGUCAAAUAUUGGAGAAACGAACUUACUCGAAGAAACUGCACAGCCGCGCUGCAUGGGGCGGCACGACAAUGCAAUUUAUGCCGAGAUAGCACAAAAAUAUUAGAGUAACUUUCCAUUUCCGCUAAAAAAAGAUAAUUUUGUCCGGGGUUUAUUGAGGGAUGGCUUAAAUACACGGAAAAAUACCAUUUUCGGGGACUUUUGACAGAUUUUCGACCUAAGGAGGCAAAGGAGGUUUGGGAAGAACACAAGCAUAAGGAUUUCAUCAUUCCUUCCUCACUCAAGAUUCGGGUUUGGAUUGAAUUUAUGUUUUUCUAUACUUUAGUUAU